rnacentral:sRNA from 1 species
GAUGGAGGAAAGGAAGUGCUGUCCAUGCACCAGAUUCUCCUGUACUUGUUAAGGUGCAGCAAAGCCCUGGUGCCCGAGGAGGAGAUUGCCAAUAUGCUUCAGUGGGAGGAGCUGGAGUGGCAGAAAUAUGCAGAAGAAUGCAAAGGCAUGAUUGUUACCAACCCUGGGACGAAACCAAGCUCUGUCCGUAUCGAUCAACUGGAUCGUGAACAGUUCAACCCCGAUGUGAUUACUUUUCCGAUUAUCGUCCACUUUGGGAUACGCCCUGCACAGUUGAGUUAUGCAGGAGACCCACAGUAAGAUAUUUCUCAGUGUUUGUCUUAGCCAAUUUCACCUUCUACUAACAGCCAAAUUAGCAGAGAAAUACCUUUUAGUGGAUGUUUCCUUUUUAAAAAUUAAGACCUGAAAUGAGCCAUACUUCUAGUUUAGAUUAUCCAAAUGAAACAAUUUUGGUAGCUCCUGAAGAAUUAUUUUCUCUACAUAUUUGAGUGCAAGAAACUAUUCAAUAGAAUAUUUUUGGCAAACUUGGUCAACAUAAGUCCUUGUAUGUUUUUAAACUUUAAGGAACUUUUUCUUUAUUCAUCCUUAUAAUAAUAAUUAUUAUUUUUUAUUUUUUCAGUGCCCUCUAGAGGAAAGUAGCACAUAUUGGUUCCUAGCACUGCCGAAUUUAUGCAGAGUUCUCUUUUUGGGGGCAUCUUAAGAGUUCAAGAUCAC